CUUGUCAGGUACACCUUACUUUUUUUUUUUUUUUUUGGUUUCUAAUUCUGUUCCUAUAAUUUUAUCUAAUUCAAUUCUUUUUUUGCAGUAUAACCAAAAACACUAGAGCGAUACCAGCAAUCUUGCUUCACUCCUCAGGAUAACAGCAUUGAAUGUGAGGCACAGCUGGUGGAUUUCUGUACUGGAUAGCUGCUGCCAGCAGUGGAGCAUCAACAGCUAAUGCAGCAACUCAAGAAGCCGUGGUGGAAGAUGCUGUCAAAGCUAAAAGGCUUGGUUGCUGCAGAAUUUUGUUUAUGUGUAAUGGUAAAAGAGUAGCUCAAGUAUGUAAUUUUAGUUGCACACCAAGUUGGCAGGAAAAAAUUAUGGUUGCUGACAUCUCAAACUUGAUGCAAAAUUUCAACAAUAUAAAUGAAAAUGGAUAUGUUCCAUUUAAUAAGUGAUCA